rnacentral:lncRNA from 1 species
CUUUGCAUGCCGCCGCGAUUUUUGACCAGCCACCGCACGCUAAGUAAGGGAAAGCGGACCAAUCGCAGAUGCCGGCACCACCCUCUUCAUCCGGUUAUCGAUUUUUAGUGCAGUGGCUCGGCCCCAUCGAAUCCCUCUCCACUUGAGCAUGCUCCUCGCCUCUUGUCAGCCAAUUAGAUAAGACAAGCCACUUAGUGUAGGCAAUGUUAUUCGUUUUCCAAGCAAAAAAAAGUGACCUCCUAUAAACGAGGAGAGCGUUUGAUUGGUCUGUUGAGACAACCCUGCGGGUGACCGCCCGACGCUUGCGUCGGCGGUUACACAAAUUUGACGUCAGGAGAUUGGAAUAAAAACAUAUUGGAAUAGUUUUACGUUACAGGGCCCCAUGUGUGUACAUGACCUCAAAACUAUGUUGGCAUCGACAUGUUGAUUAUGUUGCUGGGAAAGCUUGCAAAAUGUUGGGUUUUUUGCGCCGUAACACGAGAAUGUUUCCGCAAGACUCUAGGAAUUUACUAUUUAAAACGUAUAUUAGAUCCGCGUUGGAAUAUGCUUGUACUGUAUGGGACCCGCCGACAAAGACUGACAGACAAAAAUUAGAAAGAAUCCAGAACUUAGCGGCCCGCUACGUUUCUGGGAAUUAUAGUAGAUACAUUAGUGUGUCUGGCAUAAAACAGGAAUUAGAAUGGGAACCCCUUGAAG